rnacentral:rRNA from 1 species
AUUGAACGCUGGCGGCAGGCCUAACACAUGCAAGUCGAGCGGAUGAAGGGAGCUUGCUCCUGGAUUCAGCGGCGGACGGGUGAGUAAUGCCUAGGAAUCUGCCUGGUAGUGGGGGAUAACGUCCGGAAACGGGCGCUAAUACCGCAUACGUCCUGAGGGAGAAAGUGGGGGAUCUUCGGACCUCACGCUAUCAGAUGAGCCUAGGUCGGAUUAGCUAGUUGGUGGGGUAAAGGCCUACCAAGGCGACGAUCCGUAACUGGUCUGAGAGGAUGAUCAGUCACACUGGAACUGAGACACGGUCCAGACUCCUACGGGAGGCAGCAGUAGGGAAUAUUGGACAAUGGGCGAAAGCCUGAUCCAGCCAUGCCGCGUGUGUGAAGAAGGUCUUCGGAUUGUAAAGCACUUUUAGUUGGGAGGAAGGGCAGUAAGUUAAUACCUUGCUGUUUUGACGUUACCAACAGAAUAAGCACCGGCUAACUUCGUG